AGCGAACAUUGGCGGUAGGCUUAACACAUGCAAGUCGAGCGAGGCUUCGAGCCGAGCGGCGAACGGGUAAGUAAUACUUGGGAAUCUACCCUGAAGUAGGGGAUAACGUCCAGAAAUGGACGCUAAUACCGCAUAAUCCACAUUGGGAAAGCGCGCUGCGCUUUAGGAUGAGCCCAAGCCUGAUUAGCUAGUUGGUGGGGUAAAGGCCCACCAAGGCGACGAUCAGUAGCUGGUCUGAGAGGAUGAUCAGCCACACUGGAACUGAGACACGGUCCAGACUCCUACGGGAGGCAGCAGUGGGGAAUCUUGCGCAAUGGGGGCAACCCUGACGCAGCCAUACCGCGUGUGCGAUGAAGGUCUUCGGAUUGUAAAGCACUUUCGGCGGGGACGACAAUGACGGUACCCGCAUAAGAAGUCACGGCUAACUUCGUGCCAGCAGCCGCCGUAA
rnacentral:rRNA from 1 species